rnacentral:ncRNA from 1 species
GUCUAAGGACAUACCUUAAAAUGGUGAAACCGCGAAUAGCUCACUAUAUCAGCUAUGGUUCCUUAGAUCACAUAUACUACAUAUAUAACUGCAGUAAUUCUAGAGCUAAUAUAUGCAAUUAUGCCCUGAACCUCAAGAGAACGGGUGCAUUUAUUAGUGCAGAACCAAUAGGGGGCAGUUUUGGCCGUCUCUUUUGAAUUCUGUGAUGACUCACGAUAACUUUAAUGAUCGCAGUCGGCCUUGUGUCGGCGACGGAUCUUUCAAUUGUCUGUCGUAUCAAUUUGUUGGCAGGUGAUAUGCGUACCAUGACAAUAAUGAAUGGGCGUCAAUGUGAACUAUGCGUUCCAUUAUAUUUCAUUCAGAG